rnacentral:snoRNA from 1 species
AAAUAUGUUUUCUGAGUGUCUAGUGAUGAGUUUCAUAGGGCAGAUUCUGAGGUGAAAAUUCAUCAUUGAUCGUCCUAUUGUGAAAUCUGAAGACACUUGAAAACCU